rnacentral:rRNA from 1 species
GAUGAACGCUGGCGGCGUGCCUAAUACAUGCAAGUCGAGCGAACAGAUGAGGAGCUUGCUCCUCUGACGUUAGCGGCGGACGGGUGAGUAACACGUGGAUAACCUACCUAUAAGACUGGGAUAACUUCGGGAAACCGGAGCUAAUACCGGAUAAUAUAUUGAACCGCAUGGUUCAAUAGUGAAAGACGGUUUUGCUGUCACUUAUAGAUGGAUCCGCGCCGCAUUAGCUAGUUGGUAAGGUAACGGCUUACCAAGGCAACGAUGCGUAGCCGACCUGAGAGGGGGAUCGGCCACACGGGAACUGAGACACGGUCCAGACUACUACGGGAGGCAGCAGUAGGGAAUCUUCCGCAAUGGGCGAAAGCCUGACGGAGCAACGCCGCGUGAGUGAUGAAGGUCUUCGGAUCGUAAAACUCUGUUAUUAGGGAAGAACAAAUGUGUAAGUAACUAUGCACGUCUUGACGGUACCUAAUCAGAAAGCCACGGCUAACUACGUG